rnacentral:rRNA from 1 species
ACGCUGGCGGCAGGCUUAACACAUGCAAGUCGAGCGCCCCGCAAGGGGAGCGGCAGACGGGUGAGUAACGCGUGGGAAUCUACCCUUUUCUACGGAAUAACGCAUGGAAACGUGUGCUAAUACCGUAUGAGCCCUUCGGGGGAAAGAUUUAUCGGGAAAGGAUGAGCCCGCGUUGGAUUAGCUAGUUGGUGGGGUAAAGGCCUACCAAGGCGACGAUCCAUAGCUGGUCUGAGAGGAUGAUCAGCCACAUUGGGACUGAGACACGGCCCAAACUCCUACGGGAGGCAGCAGUGGGGAAUAUUGGACAAUGGGCGCAAGCCUGAUCCAGCCAUGCCGCGUGAGUGAUGAAGGCCCUAGGGUUGUAAAGCUCUUUCACCGGUGAAGAUAAUGACGGUAACCGGAGAAGAAGCCCCGGCUAACUUCGUGCCAGCAGCCGCGGUAAUACGAAGGGGGCUAGCGUUGUUCGGAAUUACUGGGCGUAAAGCGCACGUAGGCGGACAUUUAAGUCAGGGGUGAAAUCCCAGAGCUCAACUCUGGAACUGCCUUUGAUACUGGGUGUCUAGAGUAUGGAAGAGGUGAGUGGA